GCCGAUGUAGCUCAGUUGGUAGAGCAGCUCCAUGGUAAGGAGCAGGUCGAAGGUUCGAAUCCUUUCAUCGGCU
rnacentral:tRNA from 2 species